rnacentral:rRNA from 1 species
ACGCUCGACACCUACGGGAGGCAGCAGUUGGGAAUAUUGGACAAUGGAGGAAACUCUGAUCCAGUGACGCCGCGUGAAGGAAGAAGGUCUUCGGAUUGUAAACUUAUUUUGUCAGGGAAGAAAAAAUGACUGUACCUGAAGAAAAAGCACCGGCUAACUACGUGCUAGCAGCCGCGGUAAUCUGAGCGGGCUGGCAAGGC